GAUGAACGCUGGCGGCGUGCCUAAUACAUGCAAGUCGAGCGAACAGACGAGGAGCUUGCUCCUCUGACGUUAGCGGCGGACGGGUGAGUAACACGUGGAUAACCUACCUAUAAGACUGGGAUAACUUCGGGAAACCGGAGCUAAUACCGGAUAAUAUAUUGAACCGCAUGGCUCAAUAGUGAAAGACGGUUUUGCUGUCACUUAUAGAUGGAUCCGCGCCGCAUUAGCUAGUUGGUAAGGUAACGGCUUACCAAGGCGACGAUGCGUAGCCGACCUGAGAGGGUGAUCGGCCACACUGGAACUGAGACACGGUCCAGACUCCUACGGGAGGCAGCAGUAGGGAAUCUUCCGCAAUGGGCGAAAGCCUGACGGAGCAACGCCGCGUGAGUGAUGAAGGUCUUCGGAUCGUAAAACUCUGUUAUUAGGGAAGAACAAAUGUGUAAGUAACUAUGCACGUCUUGACGGUACCUAAUCAGAAAGCCACGGCUAACUACGCG
rnacentral:rRNA from 1 species